CCAAAGAUGGCGGGCCUCCGUGCCCCCGUCCCCAACCCAUUGUUGACCAAAAACCCUUUUGCCUCGGGGGUAGAGCGUCCGCCGCCGCCCCCGGAGGACCAUUUAACGCUGUCUCUUUGCGUCGGAGUAUUGAUUGAAUAAAUGA
rnacentral:misc_RNA from 1 species